CUCAUCAGUUUCCUUCCCAUUCUUCUGUUUGUUUUACGAUCCAUUGCUGAAUUUUUUCUGCCCAUAGAGCAAAACUGAUGCAGAAAGAGAUGUUGGGAUUUCUUUUCUUCUGUGUGUGUCUGUUGUUUGGCUUAUGUUCGUGUUGUGGUUUCACUGUUUGCGCGUGGUUCCUCUGUACGAAGAAAAUAGAGACUGCAAUGGGCCAACAAAAGGAGGAGGCUGCUGAAAAAGAGGAUGAUUCAGAAGCAUCAGUCUCUUCUGACUACGAAGUGUUCCUAAGUUUCAGAGGACCAGAUUCCCGGCAGGGCCACGCCGAUGUCCUCUACAACGACAUGAGAACGGCCGGGAUCCGUGUUUUUGGAGACGACGAUGAGCUUGACAUCGGUGAUAAGAUCGGUAAGAUCCUACCGGCUAUCGAGAAAUCCAAGAUAUGCGUACCAAUCUUCUCCAGUACCUUUGCUGCCAGUGCGUGGUGCCUCCGAGAAGUUGAAAGAAUGGUCGAAUUCAAGAAAAAGAUCAUGCCGAUUUUCUACACGGCCACACCAGAAGAUGUUAAGCUGGGCACGGAAUUAUUCAAGAAGGAACUACGGAAGCACGAGAAGAAGCAUGGAAAAGAGCAAGUGAAGAAGUGGGAGGAGGCUCUCAAAAUGGUCGCUAGAAUCAAAGGGCGGGAAGUUAAGGCCACAGGAUUUGCGAAAUUCAGCAAGUUGUUUGUCAGAGCACUUCUGAUCAAGUUGGAGGUGAAAACAAAGUAUUUGACUGACAGCCUAGUUAAAAGAGAUGAUCAUGAAGAGAAACUAUUGAAAUUGUUGGACAUCGACUCAAGUGAUGUACGAAUUAUUGGCAUCCAUGGAAUGGGUGGCAUUGGUAAGACGACUCUUGCCAAGGUCAUCUUCAACCAACUCUCAGCUAGAUUCGACUGUUGCAGCUUCCUUGAGAACAUCCAAGAGUCCUUAAGGCGUAAUGGUCUUCAAUACUUGCAAAAGCAGUUGGUGGAAGAUCUCGAUCCAAAGUUGAAAAACUUUCAAAAGAUCGACACUAUGACAAUGCUCCGAGAAAAUUUUCGUAGGAGGAGGGCUCUCAUUGUCCUUGAUGAUGUUAAUCAAAGAAAACAAAUAGAGAUGAUAGUUGGGAUGUUGGGUUGGUUUGGUUCUGGAAGCAGGAUAAUCAUAACGACUAGGGACAUAAGUAUUUUCACCAAAGAAGCUCGUACUCUUGUUAUGCAGGAGAUGGAUCGUGACCAAGCUCUCCAACUUUUCAGUAGACAUGCCUUUGGAGAAGACUCUCCUCCAAGUGACUUCCGAAUUCUUUCAGACGAAGUUAUCUCUCUUACUGGAAGACUUCCUUUGGCCAUCGAAGUCAUAGGUUCCCUUCUUUAUCAACGUGAGAAGAAGAGAUGGAAAGCGACAAUUGAGCGGCUAAAGAAUGUGCCCAAUCGAGAUGUCCAAGAAAAGCUGAAGAUAAGUUUUGAUGCAUUGGAGUUUGACCAAAAACAGAUAUUUCUUGACAUAGCCUGCUUUUUCAUCAACAAGGAGAGAUCGAAUGCAAUUCUAAUGUGGGAAGCUUGUGACUUUUACCCUGAUGAUGGAAUUGAGGUCCUUGUUUCCAUGUCUUUGGUGAAAAUUACGGGCAAUAAAUUUCAAAUGCAUGACCUGAUCAAAGAUCUUGGAAGGGAACUUGUUCGCGAGGAAUGCUUUGGUGAUCCUACCAAGCGUAGCAGGAUAUGGUCAAGCAAAGAAGCAAAGGAGCUAUUGAAGAUAAAGCAGGAAAAAGAAAAUGUUGAAGGGCUCUUUCUGGAGAAAUUAUAUGGCGACGGCAUUCUCAAACAUGAGCAGUUUUCAGGUUUUCGAAAUCUAAGAUUACUGAAAUUGGUGGGUGCAAAGCUGACAGGUGACUUUGAGAAUCUCCUUCCAAAGUUAAAGUGGUUCACAUGGCAACGAUGUCCUUCCGAUUUUGCUGCGACCAAUUUAACAUUGGAGAACUUAGUGGUUCUUGACCUUUCCGACAGUUUCAUCACUGAAAACUGGGUUGGCUGGAACAUGAUUCAGAUAGCAAAGAAUUUGAAGGCCUUAGACCUCACUGGGUGCUGUAACUUGACAAGUACACCUGACUUGUCCAACAAUGACGCUUUAGAGAAAUUGAUUCUCAGAGGAUGCCGUAAUUUAGCUGAAAUACACGGCUCCAUCAAGAAGCUGACAAGACUGAAGCAUCUUGAUCUUCAGGGCUGUCCUUCUCUCGGAGGGUUGCCCGAAGAGAUAGGUUCGCUUGAAGAUUUGGAAGAGAUUUUGGUGGAAGGGAAUCAUGGAGCUACUUUCCACUUACCAGAAUCAAUUGGUAAUUUACACUCUCUAUCUGUCAUGAAAUUACAUCGGGUGGAAAUUACGAGAAUUCCCUACUCUAUUGGAGGAUUGGUGAAUCUCACGCACCUCUCUAUGCGCUAUUGUAGUGGCAUGAAGACACUUCCAGACAUAAUCGGAGGAUUUGGAAUCAUUGGUUGAAUUAGAUCUGGACGACACAAAUUUAAGUGCAUUGCCUGACUCUGUUGGACGACUAAGUAAACUCCUGUGGUUGCGGUUAAGUUCAACGAAGAUAGAAGAGCUUCCUGACUCUCUUGGGGAUUUGGAAUCAUUGAUUGAGUUACAGCUGUCCAACACAAAUUUAAGUGCGUUGCCUGACUCUGUUGGACGACUAAGUAAACUCCGGCGGUUGCGGUUAAGUUCAACGAAGAUAGAGGAGCUUCCUGACUCUCUUGGGGAUUUGGAAUCAUUGGUUCAGUUAUAUCUGGACAAGACAAAUUUAAGUGCGUUGCCUGACUCUGUUGGACGACUAAGUAAACUAGAGGUGUUGGGGUUAGAUUCAACGAAGAUAGAGGAGCUUCCUGACUCUCUUGGGGAUUUGAAAUCGUUGGAAACAUUGGAUCUGAGUUCAUCCAAACUGAGGAUUCUACCAGAUUCUGUGGGAGAGAUGUCUGAAUUAAGGCACUUGUUGCUGGAUGAAUGCAACAUAAGAAAGUUGCCUAGUUCUAUCGGGAAGUUAGCAAGGCUAGAAUAUUUGGAGUUGGGAGGUUUGAGCUUGCAAUGCCUCCCGCAGCUCCCAGAUUUCUCCAACUUGAAGAAGCUGCAGAGCAUUGAUUUCGAAGAUUGGUUCGUAAAAGUUGCAGGGACUAAGAUUGACAAGCAUGCGUGUGGAGUUGCUCGGAGGAGAUGGUCAGGUUUUCCUGCCAGAUGGGAAAUUUGACGUCGCUGGAUAUUUCUCACGCUUGGAAAAUCUCAAGAAGUUACGUCUAAGCUAUUUGAACUGGGAUACCUGGCGGAAUUAGAUAUCCGGUACUGCGAUUCCCUGGAAAUGAUUGGGAAUCUGUCGGAAUCGAAAAGGCUAAAGGGGAUCUUUAUAAUGGAGUGCUCGAAGCUAAGAGAAAUCAGAGGCCUCAACAAAUUGUUCUUGGCAUCUAUACAGAUCGAGGGCUGCGGAUCUGUGGGAAGUUUCGAUGAAUUAGAAGUUGAGAACAAUGCCGAUUGAUGAGAAAAGAAAAAAGUGUCUGCCUGCAAUUCCGCACCUUACCUAAAAGGAAAGAUCCAGAGAGAGUGAAGAUUCAGUACUGCAGCAAUGGCGGGGUUGCAGAGAUCUGCGGUGUCUUUCAGGAGGCAGGGCUCCUCACUCCUCAGGCCUUGUGUGGGACGACAGGUUCCUCUCGGGGAAGCUCAACCAAGUGAACAACAAAGCCGGCGACGAGGCCAACAAGCCGAAAGAUCCUGACAGCAGGAAAGAACCGUCCCGCGAUUCCGAGAAGCUGUCAAGGACUGCCUGCAGUCCUCUUCCCCCGAUUGAGACGGCGGCCCUGGAGAGGAACCACAACUACAACCACACUUGACCUCUUCUCCCAGAACACGGAAAUGCUAGACUGUCCAGCGCGGCGGUGCAGGUUCGGCAAAUGGGGUCCUUUCUCCGCCGCCAAAAUUAGAACUUAAGCCAGGAAAUGUAUGGAAAUCUAAGGGAAAAGAAGAAGCCUCUGUGGGAAGACAAGAAGUUCCAUGUGGGAAGCUUUCGGCUGAAGAACAGAGAGCGGUUGUUUCUAGGACAUUCCCUGGGAUCACCGGACUUUUCAAUGGAAGAUUGUUACGCGCAUGCUUGCGUGUCUCUUACCCGCAUGGAAGCAUUCUGCUUCGGUGCAACAAGAUCAGUGAUCGCAUCAGUGAGACAAGGUGCAAGCUUUUCGUGAUGACUUCCACAUACAACAACUCAAGGUUCUAUGCUAAUGGCAGGAAAAAAACAAAUAUGAUGAACUGAGUAACAAUGCAUGCAAAUGUCAGUCUGAGCCAUGAUACUAUAGAUUAGGAAAAAUAUCGAUCCUGAUGCGGCAACUUGCCUCUUAAGCUGUUCUGGUAUUGACAUUUUAAACAGGUUCUGAACGUGAAUUGAGGUCUUGCGACGUGGCCCCUCAGGUCUUGUGAUAUUUCAUCCAAAUAAAUCAAACAUGUCAAUUGUUAGCA